rnacentral:rRNA from 1 species
AUUGAACGCUGGCGGCAGGCCUAACACAUGCAAGUCGAGCGGAGGAAGGGAGCUUGCUCCUGGAUUCAGCGGCGGACGGGUGAGUAAUGCCUAGGAAUCUGCCUGGUAGUGGGGGAUAACGUCCGGAAACGGGCGCUAAUACCGCAUACGUCCUGAGGGAGAAAGUGGGGGAUCUUCGGACCUCACGCUAUCAGAUGAGCCUAGGUCGGAUUAGCUAGUUGGUGGGGUAAAGGCCUACCAAGGCGACGAUCCGUAACUGGUCUGAGAGGAUGAUCAGUCACACUGGAACUGAGACACGGUCCAGACUCCUACGGGAGGCAGCAGUGGGGAAUAUUGGACAAUGGGCGGAAGCCUGAUCCAGCCAUGCCGCGUGUGUGAAGAAGGUCUUCGGAUUGUAAAGCACUUUAAGUUGGGAGGAAGGGCAGUAAGUUAAUACCUUGCUGUUUUGACGUUACCAACAGAAUAAGCACCGGCUAACUUCGUG